rnacentral:miRNA from 1 species
GAGGUGAGAGGAUUGCUUGAGCCCAGGAGUUUGAGGCUACAGUGAGCUAUGACCACACCACUGCACUCCAGCCUGAGUGACAGAGCAAGACCCUGUCUC